CAGCGCCGCGGGAAUACGAGGGGGGCAAGCGUUGUUCGGAAUUAUUGGGCGUAAAGGGUGCGUAGGCGGCUUGACAAGUCUUGUGUGAAAUCUAUGGGCUCAACCCAUAGUCUGCACGGGAAACUGUCGGGCUUGAGAAUGGGAGAGGUGAGUGGAAUUUCCGGUGUAGCGGUGAAAUGCGUAGAUAUCGGAAGGAACACCUGUGGCGAAAGCGGCUCACUGGACCAUUUCUGACGCUGAUGCACGAAAGCUAGGGGAGCAAACAGGAUUAGAUACCCGGGUAGUCACUGUCUCUUAUACA
rnacentral:rRNA from 1 species